rnacentral:rRNA from 1 species
CCGGGGAUAACAGGCUAAUAACUUCAGAGAGUUCUUAUCGACGAAGUUGUUUGGCACCUCGAUGUCGAUUGGUCACAUCCUGGGGCUGAAGAAGGUCCCAAGGGUUAGGCUGUUCGCCUAUUAAAGUGGUACCUGAGUUGGGUUUAGAACGUUGUAAAACAGUUCGGUUCCUAUCUACCGUUAAUUUAAAAAUUGAAAAGAUUAAACCCUCGUACGAGAGGACUGGG